CAACUACUCCCUCUGUCCCAAAUUUCCUUUCUUAUAUUUGUCUAGAUACGGAUGUAUCUAAUACUAAAAUGUGACUUGAUACAUUUGUAUCUAGACAAAUCUAAGACAAGAAUUUUGGGACGGAGGGAGUACUUU
rfam:Triticum aestivum genome assembly, contig: Triticum_aestivum_CS42_TGACv1_scaffold_578388_7BL